GUCUACGGUCAUGUGACCCUGAACGUGCCCAGUUUUGUCUGGUUUCAGAAUCUAGACAGGCCUGGACAGUACUGGGAUAGGAAACUGCCUGGGAAUACCAGGGGCCAUAGGCU
rnacentral:rRNA from 1 species